rnacentral:tRNA from 1 species
GGGGUUGUGGCUCAGCGGUAGAGCACUUGCCUAGCACGUGCACGAGGCACUGAGUUUGAUCCUCAGCACCACA